rnacentral:rRNA from 1 species
AUUGAACGCUGGCGGCAUGCCUUACACAUGCAAGUCGAACGGUAACAGCUCUUCGGAGGCUGACGAGUGGCGAACGGGUGAGUAAUACAUCGUAACGUGCCCGAUCGUGGGGGAUAACGGAGCGAAAGCUUUGCUAAUACCGCAUACGAUCUACGGAUGAAAGCAGGGGACCCUCGGCCCUUGCGCGAACGGAGCGGCCGGUGGCAGAUUAGGUAGUGGGUGGGAUAAAAGCUUACCAAGCCGACGAGCUGUAGCUGGUCUGAGAGGACGACCAGCCACACUGGGACUGAGACACGGCCCAGACUCCUACGGGAGGCAGCAGUGGGGAAUUUUGGACAAUGGGCGAAAGCCUGAUCCAACAAUGCCGCGUGCAGGAUGAAGGCCUUCGGGUUGUAAACUGCUUUUGUACGGAACGAAAAGUCUCGGGAUAAUACCCUGGGACCAUGACGGUACCGUAAGAAUAAGCACCGGCUAACUUCGUGCCAGCAGCCGCCGUAACAC